rnacentral:lncRNA from 1 species
AAGGCUGUUUGGGGAGACUGGGUAACAUUUGGGAAAUGGACCCUUGCUGGGGGAAGUUUGUCACUGAGUGGCGUUGAGUAUUUGUGGCCUCAGCUCACUUGUGCGCUCUCUCUGCUUGUUUGUGAGGCGAGAUCUAAGUUCCCUGUUCCCAGGCCAGGCCUGCAUGCUCUCAUCUCUCUGAAAUCAUAAGCCCCAAACCCCUUUUCCUUCUAUAAGUUGUCUUGAUGUUGUGGUUGUUGUAUCACAGCAAAAGGGAAGUAUGACAGAGCUGGAUAGUCUUUACCUUUAAAUGUAUAUCAUUAGCUUCAAUGGACAACACAUAUGAUCUGCCUUUCCCUUCCCUACAAGGCUGACGGCUUGGAGUCUGAACAUACAAGUCAGAAGAAAAGGACCCACUCUAUUUAUUGAUUAGUUACAAAGAAAUCUCACCGAUCAUGCCCCACUGACUCAAGCAUUCCUGGGUCUUGCUCCUUCAUUAGAUGGUGAGCACUCUCAGGGCUGUGUGUCAAGACCUGACGGUUCUAGCCCACGGUCUUCACAUUGCGGACUCUCUGCUGCUCGCUGUUGCCACCGUGAAUUCUGCUACGCUUUUCUGCUGUGAUGGACUGAAGCUGCCCUGACAGUGAUCACAAUAAAUCUCUCCUCUCUCAAGUUAUUUCUGCCAGAUGAACGUGGAAAGGAACACUUUUGAUAAGCAACAAGACACAGAUAGCCUAUCAGAUGUGGGAAUGAAGUGCGGAAAACCCAAAAUCAUUUAGCAAAUGGAUUGAAGCUAGCCAGAAUUUCACCAGUCCAGGGAGAGCACAAAGGGGAGUUAGCCUCUGCCGAACCAAGCUGCCUUGCUGAAGGCUCUGCCUGUCUCUGAGGAAGCCAGGGUAAAAGGCCUGUCUCCUAUCUCAUUAGGGAUGCUCUGAAGGAGCAGUAUUUCCUGAGAGCUGGUGAGGUGGCGAUACAUUCUGCUGUUGCCACGGACGUUCAGCCUCCAAGAUGGAUGCAGUUUUGUACUACUACUGUAGGAUCUGACGGAAAAUAAUGAAUGAUUAAUAAAUGAACAGAUGGAAGAUACCUCAUGAACUUAAAUCCUGUAAUUGCAAGAGGGGUAAAAAUCGGCCUCCACCCUAACAAAUACAGACUUCCAUCUGCAGGCAAGUGGGGCCAUGGGAUCUGCUAACAUGCAGAAGGAAGAUAGCAGCUCUUUGUGAACUCUCGGGCCUGCUGCACAAUAAGCCAGAACAACACAGAGACAAGAUGCUUUGGAACGUCUGGGAGUCUCUGCUGUCUUAUUACAUACAAGGACCCUGGCAUUUCCUGCUAAUUCAAAGGAAGAGAAGAAAAUUAGUGCCUGUUCUUCAUCAUGUCUGUGAAACUGGAGCCAAAAAUGGAUUUUUUUUGGAUCACACAUCUCCUGUCUCCUGCUGCCGGUGAUGAAGCUGCCAGCCCCACGCCAGUGGGCGGAAAUAGAUACCAGCCCUGGAGGAAGUACUGACUGCUUAUGGGCGCCUGCCACCCUCCCUGCUUCCUCCUCUUCGUGUGGAAGGAAACCGUGGGCUUUCCUGGGCAUUUUUUCUUAUUCUCUUAAUACAGGGGAACUGAAGCAUUUGGCUUUGGUUGUUUGGAUAGUGAAUCUCAGCUUGGAGGGCUUUCCAGAAAGCAGGCGGCUCCGGUCUCUGAACUCUAACUCCGUUUCUCCACCCCCCUUCCGGUGCUGUGCAGUUCUUUCCAAUUCCUGAAUUGACAUGUACAGUACUAGAAAACCUGCAGAGAGCGCCUGGAGGUCACAGCCUGCAUGAGCUUUCAAGCUGGAGAGGGCUAAGUGGAAGGAAGACACUGCACCCCUGGGAUUUCCUCCUGCAAAUGAGAUGAAAUCUAUAUAAAUGUACUCUUUCCCGUCUCAUACCUUUUAUUCGAUUUGCAUACCACGGAUCCGAUGACAACUCUCUUGAAAAGUGCUCCUUUGACUGUUUCAGCCACAGCGGUUCAUGCAAAGAAACUAAAUCUUGGAAAGGAAGGGGCUAACCCCUCCCCAUGCUUGUGCUCAGGAACCACAUGAUGACCAUGACAGACCAUGACCAGGACAUCGGUGGGUGCAAAAAGAAGAAACAAGAGCACAGGGAGGAAGGAAGAGCUGGGUGGCAUGGGGUGGGGUGGGGUGGGGGGAGGAUUGCAACUAGGCAUGAUCUUGCUUCAGGGCAUGGAGCCCAGAAAGCCCAAGACCAGAGGGCUAUGCCUAGAGCGAAGCAUAUUUUUCAGCAGUGCUCCCCCCAUUUGGGGGACAUAUUCUAGGAUGGAAGUAGAAAGAUUGUAAUGGAAUGUGGCACGUGAGCUCAUUUGUGAAAAACAAAACAAAAUAAAACAAAAAACCAAAACAGCUUUAAUUUGCUACAGUGCUGAGUUCUGAGGCAACCAUGCAAAGAUCUGUUUCUCUUCCUC